GACGAACGCUGGCGGCGUGCCUAACACAUGCAAGUUGAGCGACGAACCAGGGCUUGCCCUGGGGCAAAGCAGCGAACGGCUGAGUAACACGUGGGUAACCUACCCCGAUAACCGGGACAACCCGAGGAAACUCGGGCUAAUACCGGAUGUGCUCACUGGACUUCGGUUCAGUGCGUAAAGGAAGCUUCGGCCUCCGUAUCGGGAGGGGCCCGCGGCCCAUUAGUUAGUUGGUGAGGUAACGGCUCACCAAGACCGCGAUGGGUAGCUGGUCUGAGAGGACGAUCAGCCACACUGGGACUGAGACACGGCCCAGACUCCUACGGGAGGCAGCAGUGGGGAAUCUUGCGCAAUGCGCGAAAGCGUGACGCAGCAACGCCGUGUGGGGGAAGAAGGCCUUCGGGUUGUAAACCCCUUUCAGGAGGGACGAAGGUUCGGCGGUGAAUAGCCGUCCGGACUGACGGUACCUGCACAAGAAGCCCCGGCUAACUACGUGCCAGCCGCCGCGGUAA
rnacentral:rRNA from 1 species